CAGCUGUGAUGAGUUCUACUUCAGGUCCGUGUUUAUGAAUCCUGUGAUUUUUGUAGAAGUGCUGAGUUA